rnacentral:rRNA from 1 species
CCUACGGGAGGCUGCAGUAGGGAAUAUUGCUCAAUGGGGGAAACCCUGAAGCAGCAACGCCGCGUGGAGGAUGAAGGUUUUCGGAUUGUAAACUCCUUUUGUUAGAGAAGAUAAUGACGGUAUCUAACGAAUAAGCACCGGCUAACUCCGUGCCAGCAGCCGCGGUAAUACGGAGGGUGCAAGCGUUACUCGGAAUCACUGGGCGUAAAGAGCGCGUAGGCGGGAUAGCAAGUCAGAUGUGAAAUCCUAUGGCUUAACCAUAGAACUGCAUUUGAAACUGUUAUUCUAGAGUAUGGGGAGGGAAGAGGGAAUUCAUGGUGGAGGGGUAAAAUCUGUAGAAAAAAAGAGGAAUUCUGAUUGAGAAGG